rnacentral:miRNA from 1 species
GGGGCUGGGGCCGGGACAGAGC